rnacentral:rRNA from 1 species
UGGUGAGGUAAGUUCCUGGUAAAAUUGGGCAGCUUAACUGUCCUUAUGCUAGGAAUACUGCUUUACUAGAGGGCGGGAGAGGUCUGAGGUACUACAGGGGUAGGGGUGAAAUCUUAUAAUCCUUGUAGGACCACCAGUGGCGAAAGCGUCAGACUGGAACGCGCCUGACGGUGAGGGACGAAAGCCAGGGGAGCGAACCGGAUUAGAUACCCGGGUAGUCCUGGCCGUAAACGAUGCAUACUAGGCAAUGGUGCGGCUAUGAGCCGCAUCAGUACCGGAGGGAAACCGUUAAGUGUGCCGCCUGGGAA